CCUCCUGACCCGUAGUUACAUCUCCGGGUACCGAGCCUCUAAGGAUGAUAUCACUGUGUAUUCAUAUCUAGCAUCAGCUGAAUAUGUGAAUGCAUCUAGGUGGUAUAAGCACAUCGAUGCACUUUUAAGAAUCUCUGGUGUAUCUGGCGAAGGUGCCGGUGUCACUGUAGAGGGAUCUGUACCAAUCACCGAGGAGGCAGUGGCAACUCCUCCUGCUGCUGACACUAAAGCCUCAGCUGCUGAAGAAGAAGAAGAUGAUGAUGACGUAGACCUAUUUGAUGAGGAAACUGAAGAGGAGAAGAAGGCUGCUGAAGAACCUGCAGCAGCAGUUAAGGCUUCAGGGAAGAGGUAGACCUAUUUGGUGAGGAAACUGAAGAGGAGAAGAAGGCUGCUGAAGAACGUGCAGCAGCAGUUAAGGCUUCAGGGAAGAAGAAAGAAUCUGGCAAGUCCUCAGUUCUCUUGGAUGUCAAGCCAUGGGAUGAUGAGACUGAUAUGAAGAAGCUUGAAGAAGCUGUUCGAAGUGUUCAGAUG
rnacentral:lncRNA from 1 species